AUUCCCACUGUUGUAAAGGAAGUGGAAAAGCAGUUUAAUGCUGCGAAAGGAGGAGAAGCGUGUGUGUCAGAAGAAGCUGUGAGGAAAAGAGAAGAGCUUAAAAUGCUUCCAGCAGAGGAUUACCAAGAUUGCUGUGGCAAUGCAGACAAGCACUGUGGCUCGUUUUGGCUGAAGGAGGUCCAAGAAGGACAUCACAAGGUCAGCAGGAAUAACCCACCUGACCAAUGCUGCGAAUUAAAAUCAGGUCCAGAGAACAAUGCAAGCCAAGAAGGGAAAACAUCUGCAGAGA